rnacentral:rRNA from 1 species
AACGAACGCUGGCGGCAUGCCUAACACAUGCAAGUCGAACGAAGGCUUCGGCCUUAGUGGCGCACGGGUGCGUAACGCGUGGGAAUCUGCCCCUCGGUUCGGAAUAACAGCGAGAAAUUGCUGCUAAUACCGGAUGAUGACUUCGGUCCAAAGAUUUAUCGCCGAGGGAUGAGCCCGCGUAAGAUUAGCUAGUUGGUGGGGUAAUGGCCUACCAAGGCGACGAUCUUUAGCUGGUCUGAGAGGAUGAUCAGCCACACUGGGUCUGAGACACGGCCCAGACUCCUACGGGAGGCAGCAGUGGGGAAUAUUGGACAAUGGGCGAAAGCCUGAUCCAGCAAUGCCGCGUGAGUGAUGAAGGCCUUAGGGUUGUAAAGCUCUUUUACCAGGGAUGAUAAUGACAGUACCUGGAGAAUAAGCUCCGGCUAACUCCGUGCCAGCCGCCGCCGUAA